CUUCUUUCUUAUCCCAAAUCCAAACAAUCAUAUAACACGCAAUGCCUAUCACCUUCGGGAGAAACCCUUCUUCUCGCCAUGUCGCUCCAGUGGAGCUUGCUCCAGGGUUUCCAUUCUCCUCGCCCCUUUCUAGCUCCAUCGCCGAUCCCGACCUUCAAGAAGGCAUCGCCCCUCUCCUCGCCCCCAGCUGCUCUUCCUUCAUGGACUCAGAGGAUCAUGGAAAGGAUUUCAACUAGUGGUGAAGUAGGGGGUGCAGGGGGAGCAUAUUCUUAUGAUGCAUUGAAGAGAUUGGAUCGGUUGUUGUCUGAAAUUUGUUCUAAUCCAUCAAAAAAUAAUGCUCAAGUUGUUUUCCGUGCUUCUGGUGCAUCCAAUGAUUAUGAUCCAAAAAAUAAAGCAAGCUUUACAUUUGAUGUAAUAGUUUGCGGUGGUACUUUAGGAAUUUUUAUUGCUACAGCCUUACUUUCCAAAGGUUUACGUGUUGGGAUUGUUGAAAAGAACCAGAUUAAGGGGAGAGAACAAGAUUGGAAUAUCUCAAGAAAAGAGCUUCUGGAACUUGUUGAUGUUGGAAUUCUUUCAGAAGAUGAGAUUGAACAGAUCAUAAAUAUAAAAUUCAAUCCUAAUAGAUGUGGGUUUGAGAAGAAAGGUGAUAUCUGGGUAGAAGAUAUUCUCAAUCUUGGUGUUUCCCCAGUAAAACUUUUGGAAAUCAUGAAGAAGCGUUUUGUUACCCAAGGUGGAGUUCUCUUUGAAGGCAAAGGCUUGUCUACUAUUAAUGUCCAUGAUGAUAUCGUGAUUUUGCAGCUAUCUGACGGAGAUGUUCUAUUUUCUCGUCUUCUAGUUGAUGCAAUGGGUAAUUUCUCACCUGUGGUUAAACAAAUCAGAUCAGGGCAAAAACCUGAUGGAAUUUGUCUUGUUGUUGGCUCUUGUUCUUGUGGUUUCAAGGAAAAUUCUUCAAGUGACAUUAUUUACAGUAAUGCUUCUGUGAAAAGGGUCCGAGAUUCCAAUGUACAAUACUUUUGGGAGGCAUUUCCUGCUGGUUCUGGCUUGACAGAUCGGACUACUUACAUGUUCACUUAUGUUGAUGCACAACCAAGCUGCCCCAAGUUGGAAGAUCUAUUAGAAGAUUAUUGGGAUCUAAUGCCAAACUAUCAGGGGGUUCCUCUUGAUCAAUUGGAAGUACAAAGAGUAAUUUUUGGAAUCUUCCCUACAUACCGUGAUAGCCCACUGCCAUCUGCGUUUGACCGAGUCAUACAGGUUGGUGAUGCUAGCGGCAUCCAGUCACCAGUUUCCUUUGGGGGUUUUGGAAGCAUGACUCGCCACCUAAACAGGCUGUCAAAUGGAAUAUUUGAAGCAGUAUCUGGAAACUUUCUUGAUGUCUAUAGUCUGAGCUUACUAAAUCCUUACUUGCCAAAUUUAAGCGCAUCUUGGUUGUUUCAAAGAGCAAUGUCAGCAAAGCCAAAUGUGGCUAUUUCAUCUGCCUUCAUCAAUGACCUCCUUUAUGCCAAUUUUUUGGCUAUGCAAAAGCUCGGAGAUCCAGUGCUUAGGCCAUUUCUUCAGGAUGUCAUACAGUUUUGGCCUCUUGUGAAGACGUUGGGUUUGGUUAUGCUAAGUCAACCCCGGCUCUUACCGUCUAUAUUUAAACAGGUUGGGAUUGCUGUGAUUCUUGAUUGGUCUGGGCAUUUUGUAAUGCUUGGUUGGUACACAUUUCUAUCCAGUUAUCUAGAUCCUAUCAUAAGGCCAUGGAUCAAGUUGCUUCCUCUAAAGCGUAAAUUUGAAUGGAACCGGAAUCUAGAAGCUUGGAAGUACGGAGCUGGUUUGGACUACAACAUAUCUCACAACCCUAGGAACUAACAUAAGCUGAAGGAAUUUCCAUUUUCAUCCUUGAAUGGAAGAACAACUCACAUCAAUUUCCAGUGUACACUGAUGUAUUCCAUGUACCUUUAUGUGCAAGUGGAAUCCUAAAGUGAAAUAUGGAUUCCUGGACUACAAUAACCAUUUGGUGUCAUUUGAAGCUCUCAAGUCUUUAUUGCACAUGCAAUGAUAAGCAGGAAAGGCUCUUAUUUUGGAACAAUUGGAUUAACAGUCUCUUGUUUGGCUUGAUGUGCAUCCCAUAACCCAUGGAAAUUAUCUUAAUAUUGAACCUUGCAUCGAAGUUUCUGAAGGUCGCUGCUGAGAUUCUUUGAGAGUCUUGAAUCGAAAGCCCGAAGGGUUAAAAUACUUUGUCUGGUAAGCUGAAGCAAACAACAUACGUUGUUAUUUAGGUUGUAGCAUUUCUAAUGUCUUUGGUCAAUAGAAAUUUUUCAUAUUAAGAUUGAUAUGGUUCUUGUUUUCAGGGGUAAACUGCAUAGGAUUUUGCUUAUACAUAUACACACACACACUUUUGUAUAUUAUAAGCAAACUCUGCCGGUUGCAUUUAAGUUGACUUUGGCUUCAA